rnacentral:rRNA from 1 species
UUGUGCCUACGGGGGGCAGCAGUAGGGAAUCUUCCACAAUGGGCGAAAGCCUGAUGGAGCAACGCCGCGUGGGUGAAGAAGGUCUUCGGAUCGUAAACCUCUGUCAGCAGGGAAGAACGGUCACUGUGCUAAUCAGCAGUGAAUUGACGGUACCUGCAAAGGAAGCACCGGCUAACUCCGUGCCAGCAGCCGCGGUAAUACGGAGGGUGCGAGCGUUAAUCGGAAUUACUGGGCGUAAAGCGCUCGUAGGCGGUAUGUCAAGUCAAGGGUGAAAUCCCCGCGCUCAACGUGGGAACUGCCUUUGA